UUGUUGUUUAUGUGUUUUUUAAAGUGCGCCUAUGACUAUAUGGUACUUUGUCACAUCCGGGUUUACCCCCUAGACAUAACCGGCGUUGUCCUCCUCUUUGAGGACUAGGACUAGCCUCUUAGUUUACAUCAUCACAUUCAUAAGUCGAAUUUAGCGAAAAAUUUAAAACUUUUAUUACUUCUACUUGGAGGUUUACAUAGACCUUUACAUACACAUAAUUAUAUAUAUCGAGUAUAAAUAGACCGUUCGUAUAGGAAGGUUAUAUAGCCUUCUAGUUUUAUUGCACAUACAUAUAUAAGAUAUAAAAUAGUCUCAAAGAUUGUCUCAUCUCAUACCAUCUAAAUGAUCAUAGCAAUUUGGGCAUUGCCCUACAUCAAUGUAAAGAAGCCACAUAUAGGCUUAUACAAAUCAUACUCAAAUGGAAGUGGAUUGAACUUAAUAAGAGUCUUAGAAAAACAAAGCAACUCCUUAAGCAAGAUAUUGGUAUCGCCCUCGGAAAGUGAUGACCUACCCACUUGGAUGAUAGAGAUUAUUCAAGCCUUCUUCAAGUCGUCUCGAAUGAGCCUUCAACGAUCGAAACCUAAAACGUUUGGGAAAAAGGAAGAAAAUGGGGUUAGUACGCCACUUGUACUAAGUAUGAGACCACAUGCACAUAUAUGAUGAAAAUAUGCUAAAAAGGAACAUUUUAUAAACAUAUGCAUUUUUCCCUUAUAAACCAUUAUGCACAUUCAACAAGACCAUACCAAUCAACAUUUCAUAAUUAUUAAGUCAUAGGCAUGCUCCUCAAAAUACAACAAUUUUCAAGUCUAGUCAAGUCAACCCUUCACAUCAUGUAGAUAGAUACAUAGUCAAUUAACUCCUUCCCCAAGUCAUAUUUAACCAUAAUCAUGAAUAAGAGUACAUUUCAUUAUAAAGAAGCAAGACAAUUACCCAUAAACUCCUAUGAAGUCAACAAGUGCAAUGAUCAAGAAAAUUCCCAUAACCUUACUCAAUAAAGCAACCCAACAAGAAUCAUGACUAACACCCUACUUCACAUAACAUGACAUUUAGACAUACAUUUCAUAUUACUUUAACAAUAUAACCCAACACAUACUCAUAAGUGAACUAAUCAACAUAUAGCAUCAACAAUGUGCAAGUUCAUCAUAUACAUGUCAUAUAUCAUCACAAACAUAAAUAUACAUAAGAACCUCCUCCUAAGACUCCCCUCGAGGCUAACUAGUGGAAUGCUUAGGUAGAUACCCAUACCCCUACCUAGACUAAGUUAGACUCCUUAGGUUAUCCUAGUUAGAGUUCAAUCCUCUUAUUCAUUUUACCUUUUGGGAAGAUCUUUCUCUAACCGACAUAGACCACAUGAACUAGUGUGGAAUCCGGUGUCAUAAAACCCUACAUCGAAGGAAGGCAGACUACUUGCCAAGGUAGUACCAAAACAUAAAACAUAACAACUACGUGGAUCCACUAGCUAGUAUUCUUAUGGGGGCAACAUAGUUCAAGAACUAGGAGAUGUAGUUGGGACCCUCUUUAUGCUCCAUGCAUUGUAGUCUCCAAUCUCAAGAGUACUUAAGUGCUCCUACUUUCCCUCUGUGGGAAGGGACACUCCUCAAUCUAGUUCACUCGGUGCUAAGCUAGAGUCCCUUUUUUAAAAUGUCUUUAAGCCUUUAAUUAUAAAUCAUAAUUUAGUUUGGGUCAUAGGUUUUACCCCUUGUAUAAUCAUCAUCAUCAAUAGCUCAAUAAGAAUUGUAUGAGUAUAAGUCCUUUCAUUACAAUUCAUAAAAGUGAGGUUAGUACAUUAGCAUUUCGUAUCAUAAUAAUGCCCAUUGAUAGUCAUCACCAUCCUUAUAACACAUACACCUUAAUCAACCUCACAACAUAGUCAAGACAUUUCAAUUCAACAUCAUAUCAUCCUAUCAAUCCUAGUACAAGCCAUACUCCAAUAUAACAUCAUGACUUAACCACAAUUAAUCACAAUUGGAAGUUAAGAUAGAGAUAAUAAGACUUACCAAGUCUCCUUCAUAGUUCAUCAUUUAGGCCUUACCAUAAACCCUCAAUUCAAUCCAAUUUAGAUGUACCACAUAAUAAUUCAAUAAUCAACAUGAUAAAAAGGCUAGAAGAGUCACUACAUCAUAAUUCAAUACUAAAUCAAAGCUUAAGACAAGAUACUUAGGUCAAUUCUCAUAACCUAGAUCACUUCUCAAGAACUAGUAUGAAAGGCUACAAAUCAUCCUAAAUUUUUCAUGAUAAGUGUAACAAAAUCAUCUGAGAGUGAUUUAACCAAUAGUCAAGUGAAUUGAAUCAAUCACAACCUAAUUCACAUCAAGAUCAAACCUAAUGUUAAGGGUUAAGGAUCAUGUUCUUCUAUUUAGAUCAAACCAUCACAAAUUAUCAUAAUCAAGUUAAUAUACAUGUUAAUAUAUUCAUUAUAUCCUAAAGAACCAUAAGCAAUUCAGUUCAUAACAUCAAAUUCGUAAUUGAAUGAAACCCACUUGAAAACCCAACUUUUAGAAAUACUUUGAAGGAGACCUUUGAGGAAAGAAGUCUCAAAGGUGAAUUAGAUCCCAAACCUCAAUGUUUGAUGAAUAUUUGAUGGUGAAAUCGUCCCUUUCCAUCUCCAAAACCUCCCCCUAGCUUGUCUUCAAUGGUGUCUUCCAAUAGAGAGAGAAAGAAGAGAGAAGGAAGAAAGUUUAUUUUGUGAGUUGUGUUUAGACUAAUGAGGGUUG
rnacentral:lncRNA from 1 species